rnacentral:rRNA from 1 species
GAAAUGCGAUAAGUAAUGUGAAUUGCAGAAUUCAGUGAAUCAUCGAAUCUUUGAACGCACCUUGCACUCCUUGGUAUUCCGAGGAGUAUGUCUGUUUGAGCGUCAUUAAAUUCUCAGAUAAAGCUUUUUCAAAGGGCUUUAUUUGGAUGUGAGGGUUUUUGUGCUGGCUUUCAAUUGAGUCGGCUCCCUUUAAAUGUAUUAGUGGUUGCUUCAUUCACUUUAGAGUGUGAUAGUAUCUAUGCUCAGAGUUAAUGAAGUCCUCAUCCGCUUUUGAGGAUUGUCUUUUUGUGAAGACAAUUCAUUUGACUAUUUGACCUCAAAUCAGGUAGGACUACCCGCUGAACUUAA